rnacentral:rRNA from 1 species
UCAGGACGAACGCUGGCGGCGUGCUUCAUACAUGCAAGUCGAACGAGAAUCUCUAGCUUGCUAGAGAGGAAAGUGGCGGACGGGUGAGUAAUAUGUAGAGAAUCUGCCCUUGAGUGGGGGACAACAGAGGGAAACUUCUGCUAAUACCCCAUAUGAGCUUAGUUGAAAUACUAAUCUUGAAAACUCCGGUGCUCAAGGAUGAGUCUGCAUCUGAUUAGCUAGUUGGCGGUGUAAUGGACCACCAAGGCGACGAUCAGUAGCUGGUUUGAGAGGAUGAUCAGCCACAAUGGGACUGAGACACGGCCCAUACUCCUACGGGAGGCAGCAGUAGGGAAUUUUGCGCAAUGGGCGAAAGCCCUGACGCAGCAACGCCGCGUGAACGAGAAGCCCUUCGGGGUGUAAAGUUCUGUCAGUAGGGACGAAUCUUGACGGUACCUACAGAGGAAGCACCGGCUAACUCCGUGCCAGCCGCGGC